UAAGGAAUAUUGGUCAAUGGACGCAAGUCUGAACCAGCCAUGCCGCGUGGAGGAUGAAGGUCCUCUGGAUUGUAAACUUCUUUUAUCUGGGACGAAACACUUCUUUUCUAAGAGGCCUGACGGUACCAGAUGAAUAAGCACCGGCUAACUCCGUGCCAGCAGCCGCGGUAAUACGGAGGGUGCAAGCGUUAUCCGGAUUCACUGGGUUUAAAGGGUGCGUAGGUGGGUAUGUAAGUCAGUGGUGAAAUCCCCGAGCUUAACUUGGAAACUGCCAUUGAUACUAUAUAUCUUGAAUACCGUAGAGGUAAGCGGAAUAUGUCAUGUAGCGGUGAAAUGCUUAGAUAUGACAUGGAACACCAAUUGCGAAGGCAGCUUACUAUGCGGUGAUUGACACUGAGGCACGAAAGCGUGGGUAGCAAACA
rnacentral:rRNA from 1 species